rnacentral:rRNA from 1 species
UACAGAGGUCUCGAGCGUUAGGCGGAAUCACUGGGCUUAAAGCGUGUGUAGGUGGAUCGUUAAGUACCUUGUGAAAUCCCACGGCUUAACCGUGGAACUGCUUGGUAUACUGGCGGUCUUGAGUCAGCUAGGGGCUACCGGAACAAAUGGUGGAGCGGUGAAAUGCGCAGAUAUCAGGAGGAACACCAAUUGCGAAGGCAGCUCGCUGGGACGUGACUGACGCUGAGACGCGAAAGCGUGGGGAGCAAACAGG